rnacentral:rRNA from 1 species
AGCAGCCGCGGUAAUUCCAGCUCCAAUAGCGUAUAUUAAAGUUGUUGCAGUUAAAAAGCUCGUAGUUGAAUUUCGGGAUCAAGGCGUCGGUCGCGCUUAGGUACGUACUGGCGUAAUUGAUUUCUCCCUUCUGACGAACCAUGAUGUCAUUAACUUGGUGUCAUGGGAAAUCAGGACUGUUACUUUGAAAAAAUUAGAGUGUUUAAAGCAGGCUCACGCUUGAAUACAUUAGCAUGGAAUAAUGAAAUAGGACGUUCGAUCCUAUUUUGUUGGUUUUAGGAUCAACGUAAUGAUUAAUAGGGAUAGUUGGGGGCAUUAGUAUUCAAUUGUCAGAGGUGAAAUUCUUGGAUUUAUUGAAGACUAACUACUGCGAAAGCAUUUGCCAAGGAUGUUUUCAUUAAUCAAGAAC